UACGUAGGGUGCGGGCGUUGUCCGGAAUUACUGGGCGUAAAGAGCUCGUAGGUGGUUUGUCGCGUUGUUCGUGAAAACCGGGGGCUUAACCCUCGGCGUGCGGGCGAUACGGGCAGACUUGAGUACUGCAGGGGAGACUGGAAUUCCUGGUGUAGCGGUGGAAUGCGCAGAUAUCAGGAGGAACACCGGUGGCGAAGGCGGGUCUCUGGGCAGUAACUGACGCUGAGGAGCGAAAGCGUGGGGAGCGAACAGG
rnacentral:rRNA from 1 species